rnacentral:tRNA from 1 species
GGGUCGUUAGCUCAGUUGGUAGAGCAGUUGACUUUUAAUCAAUUGGUCGCAGGUUCGAUUCCUGCACGACCCACCA